GCAAGUGAUAAAGUCAUUAUGAAAGUGGGUUUAAAUGAUUACACAUUAAAAAUUUAAUUUUGAAAUGUAUAAGCUAAUAAAUUUGGAAAUGGACGGCCACUUGAAGAUGUAUACCCAUCAUGUAUAUUUUAGCAUGAAGCUAAAUUAAGCAUGAAGCUCUGGUUCCAUGACUUCUGGAAGGCAAUGGCCAGUCUCAGACUUAAGGAUUAACAGGUAUUUGGGAGGCUGAGGCAGAAGAAUUGCUUGAACCUGGGAGGUGGAGGUUGCAGUGAGCCGAGAUCAUACCACUGCACUCCUGCCGGGGUGACAGAGUGAGACUCUGUCUCAAAAACAAACCGAAACAUGGACACUGCCUGAGCACCCUCAUUCUGUGUUUGAAGAAAUACAGAUACAAUGGCAGAAAUGCAAGAUACAUUUUCUUGGAAUUACAGUAAAGAAUCUGCAAGUGUUGUGGCUUCUUACGUGUUGACAAGAAGCUCUUCUGGGACCGUCAGCUUUUCUUCUGUUACUACCUGUUGAGGUGAGAGCGAAAAAGAUGGAGACAGCAAAAGAGCCACGAAGUGGUCCAUUCUCUUUCCGUCUCUGACCCAAGGGUAAGUACCAACCAUAACAGAGCUUAUAUCUGGCUAUAUAUUUAAGGUUACUUUCCUAAAGACCUGAAGAAAACAAAAUAGGAUGACGUUAGAACCCAGAUACAUUUUGAACAAGAUAAAGAUUUGAUCUUGGAGCCCUUGGGGCUCAGCUAUAACCUAUCUCUUCUGAAGUGAUUUAAUUAUCCUCACUCCAGGUGCAGGCAGCUUCACCACCAUUCCUCUCAGAUAUAUGUGCAUUUUGGGAAGACUCUUCUUCCAUGACAAAGCACAGGGUGGAGUAGAAUCCUGGCUUAUCCACUCUAAUGGUGAUGUUCCCCAGAGUCCUCUUUUCUGUUCUACCUCUUACACACUCUGACAAUGGCAGCUUGUCAGCCCAUCCCAUAACACUGUAAACUAUUAUUGGUACAUUUUCCAAAGUUUAAGUUUACUUAGAAUAUAUAUGAUUUUUCUAACCUGGUUUCAUUCCUUUUCAUUAAUCUGUAUUCAUUAUUACCUCAAGAUGAAUACAUAUUCUUCCUUUAGUUUUCCAGUUCUUGGUUUCUGAACUUGGGAGCAACUCUUUAAAAAUUAAUAGUGACAGUGAUAAUCCGUCCUAAUGCGAUAUUCAAAAGCAAAUUGUGCAUUUUCAAAAUGACAGAUUUUGUAGCCUUUACCACAGUUGUAAUGUUUUAACAAUUUAAACCUAAUUUCAAUUAGUACCCUGAUACCUCCAAAUAUUUAGCAAGGAGAGUUUUUCUAAGAAAGAGUCUAGGCCAUGGAAAAUUAACUUUCCUAUUUCCCAUCUCACACUUGCGAGAAAAGUGAGGCUCAGAAAGUCUGAAUUUUAUUUGCCAAAGGUCACAAGAGUGGUAGAGCUGGGAUUCAAAACUAGGUCAUUCUCACUCUAGAACCAUAUUGCCUUCUAAAAUGUGUCACUGAAUGAAACUUCCCUUAGCAUGUAAAACUGUGUGCAGCAAAAAUUCUGCAAGCUCCAGGGUCAAGUGGAAUGAUAGAUUUUCUUUGUCUCCAGAUAAGUUGGCUCCACCCAAUCAUGUUUAAUUCAAUUUUUAUUUAUUGAUCUAUCGAUUUCAGGUAUUAAGUGCUAGACAUAAAAGUGACCAGAGGAAAAAAGAAUUUUGGAAUGAGAGCAGAAUGGAUUAUUUUCUUCUUUCUUUCCUCUGGUUCAAAUAGCAUAUCUCCUGCACAUGACAGAUUUCCUGUAACCUGUGUAGUACUUUGAACAUGUAGUAAAGCAGAAGUGACAUUGCAGUAACUCAUGAACUCCACUGAGAUUGCUAUGGUGUGACAAACCUGUCUUGGCUGUCUCUAUGUAAAUUAGAAAUUCCUAAAGCUUUCAAUAGGAAAGUUACUGUGAACUGCUUCAUUUCAAACUGAAAGCAUUGAAAUGCUAAUUAGGAAGCAUUAUUUUUUUCCUUUAAAGUAACUUUAAAUGACUUGCCUGGAAAGUAAACACAUUUACUCUACUUUUAUGGCACAGAUUUCUCCAUAUGAGAGGAGAAUGGCCAUUUUUGUGAACUACUGUUGGAUAUGACAUACAUAUUUUGGAAGUCUCAUUCGAUGUUUGGAUUUGACAGAUAAAAUGCUUUUAUCGAUUGU
rnacentral:lncRNA from 1 species